AGUGAACGCUGGCGGUAGGCCUAACACAUGCAAGUCGAACGGCAGCACAGUAAGAGCUUGCUCUUACGGGUGGCGAGUGGCGGACGGGUGAGGAAUACAUCGGAAUCUACUUUUUCGUGGGGGAUAACGUAGGGAAACUUACGCUAAUACCGCAUACGACCUACGGGUGAAAGCAGGGGAUCUUCGGACCUUGCGCGAUUGAAUGAGCCGAUGUCGGAUUAGCUAGUUGGCGGGGUAAAGGCCCACCAAGGCGACGAUCCGUAGCUGGUCUGAGAGGAUGGUCAGCCACACUGGAACUGAGACACGGUCCAGACUCCUACGGGAGGCAGCAGUGGGGAAUAUGGGACAAUGGGCGCAAGCCUGAUCCAGCCAUACCGCGUGGGUGAAGAAGGCCUUCGGGUUGUAAAGCCCUUUUGUUGGGAAAGAAAAGCAGCAGGUUAAUACCCCGCUGUUCUGACGGUACCCAAAGAAUAAGCACCGGCUAACUUCGUG
rnacentral:rRNA from 1 species